rnacentral:SRP_RNA from 1 species
GCUGGGUGUGGUGGCGCAUACCUGUAAUCCCAGCUACUCAGGAGGCUGAGGCAGGAGAAUUGCUUGAACCUGGGAGGUGGAGGUUGCAGUGAGCCGAGAUCACGCCACUGCACUCCAGCCUGGGUGACAGAGUGAGCCUCCGUCUCAA